AAAUAACAGGUAAGGGUGAUCAGGAACACCUCUCUGUGGAGAUGGCUUGAAAGUUAAAAAGGAACCAGUUGGUGAGAAAGUCGGGAAGAGUGUUGUAGGCCAACUCAAAGUGGGAAAGACAUUGGCGUGUGCUCCUCGAAUAGAGAGGAACUAACUGUACUUUCUGGAAAGGGAAACUAAAAUUGAGAGGCCAGUAAACUAAAAACUGCAUUGACACAGGGCAAAGCUCUUCAUCCUUUUCUCAUAAUAAAGUGCCUAAGUCCACUUGUCCUGGCUAGUCCAGCCAAAGGUAAACUCACUGAAAACUCUGUUAAAUGCUAGAUGAUCAUACAAGCCACCAUAGUGAAGGUGGGCGGAAGACAAGACACCAUAGUGAAGGUGGGAGGAAGACAAGACACCAUAGUGAAGGUGGGAGGAAGACACACUUGAUGUUUUCCAAGGCCACACAUUUACUAAGGUGGCAGAAGUGGAAAUAAUCCCAGGGUCAUCUGCUUUGGGGCCAGUGUUCCUCCCAGAGACUCCAAGCACCCCAAGUACUGCAUCGAGCUGAGCGCCCAGCCUGUGGGACUUAU
rnacentral:lncRNA from 1 species